UAUUUCUGACCGUUGACCAGAGACUUGGAGUGUUGGAACAUAACCUCGACGUCCACUCGACGGCAGCCAAUAUUUUGAACCUUAUCGAAGAAUCGUUCGCCAUACUGAAUACGCUGACUACAACGUUUCCUUAUUACCUCUACUUUCCAACGCCGAAGUGGAGACGGUUCGUCCGCGCCGCGGACGAAGUCAUGAGGUUGCUGUCACCACGUGUUAUGGCAGCAGCGGAAAGGGCUGAUCAUAUGGGGAAGAAGGAAAGCACCACACUCAUCGCCUCUCUACAACGUGAAGGAAAACUAAGCUUUAAAGAAAUCUGGACGUUCGUUUCUGACUUCACGAUGGCGGGUUCUGAAACGAUUGCAGCUGUUGCAACGUAUUGCUUAUACUGCCUUGCAAUGAACCCUCUCGCUCAACAAAAAGCCAGCGAAGAGGUUCGCUCAGUUCUGAACAAACAUUCAAACAGUGAAAUAAGUAUCAAGUAUUCCGAACUUUCUUACUUAAAGGCCUGUAUCCGUGAAUC